UACGGAGGGCGCAAGCGUUGUUCGGAAUCACUGGGCGUAAAGCGCGUGUAGGCGGCCGGGCAAGUCGGAUGUGAAAUCCCGAGGCUCAACCUCGGAACUGCAUUCGAAACUGCUCGGCUCGAGUCCCGGAGAGGAUGGCGGAAUUCCCGGUGUAGGGGUGAAAUCCGUAGAGAUCGGGAGGAACACCAGUGGCGAAGGCGGCCAUCUGGACGGUGACUGACGUUGAGACGCGAAAGAGUGGGGAGCAAACAGG
rnacentral:rRNA from 1 species